UGGGGAAUCUUGCACAAUGGGCGAAAGCCUGACGCAGCCACGCCGCGUGAGGGAUGAAAGCUCUAGGGUUGUAAACCUCUUUCAGCAGGGACGAAAAUGACGGUACCUGCAGAAGAAGCUCCGGCCAACUACGUGCCAGCGGCCGCGGUAACACGUAGGGAGCGAGCGUUGUCCGGAUUUAUUGGGCGUAAAGAGCUCGUAGGCGGUUCAGUAAGUCAGGUGUGAAAACUCGAGGCUCAACCUCGAGAUGCCACCUGAUACUGCUGUGACUGGAGUCCGGUAGAGGAGUGUGGAAUUCCUGGUGUAGCGGUGAAAUGCGCAGAUAUCAGGAGGAACACCAACAGCGAAGGCAGCACUCUGGGCCGGUACUGACGCUGAGGAGCGAAAGCGUGGGGAGCGAACAGG
rnacentral:rRNA from 1 species